rnacentral:lncRNA from 1 species
CUUCAUAGUUGUUUCCGCGGAUCGCAAAAAAGCAUGACACGAACUGAAUGGUUAUGUUAGAGGAUUAUCUACACAAUUAACAUAUCUUACCAAGGCCAUAGGAUGAAGGUGUGGGGCCAGGAUGGAGUUGUGGAGAGAUGGAGGUGUGGGGCCAGGAUGGAGAUGUUGAGCCAGCAUGUAGUUGUGGGGAGAUGGAGGUGUGGGGCCAGGAUGGAGUUGUGGAGAGAUGGAGGUGUGGGGCCAGGAUGGAGAUGUUGAGCCAGCAUGUAGUUGUGGGGAGAUGGAGGUGUGGGGCCAGGAUGGAGUUGUGGGGAGAUGGAGGUGUUGGGCCAGGAUGGAGGUGUGGGGCCAGGAUGGAGGUGUUGGGCCAGGGUAAAAGUGUGGGGCCAGGAUGGAGGUGUGGGGCCAGGAUGGAGUUGUGGGGCCAGGGUGGAGGUGUUGGGCCAGGAUGGAGCUGUUGGGCCAGGAUGGAGGUGUUGGGCCAGGAUGGAAGUGUGGGGCCAGGAUGGAGUUGUGGGGCCAAGAUGGAGGUGUGGGGCCAGGAUGGAGCUGUUGGGCCAGGAUGGAGGUGUUGGGCCAGGAUGGAAGUGUGGGGCCAGGAUGGAGUUGUGGGGCCAGGAUGGAGUUGUGGGGCCAGGAUGGAGGUGUUGGGCCAAGAUGGAGGUGUGGGGCCAGGAUGGAGGUGUGGGGAGAUGGAGGUGUUGGGACAGAAUGGAGGUUUGGGGCCAGGAUGAAGGUGUUGGGCCAGAAUGGAGUUGUGGGUUCAGGAUGGAGGUGUGGGGCCAGGAUGGAGGUGUGGGGCCAGGAUGGAGGUGUGGGGCCAGGAUGGAGGUGUUGGGCCAGGAUGGAGGUGUGGGGCCAGGAUGGAGGUGUGGGGUCAGGAUGAAGGUGUGGGGCCAGGAUGGAGAUGUUGGGAGAUAUCUGUCUAUUCUAUUAAACUAUUGCGAUCUAUUGUGUUACCCAGAACCACUGAUCUCUCCAUAUCUACAGUACUGUCACCCAGAACCACUGAUCUCUCCAUAUCUACAGUACUGUCACCCAGGACAGGAUAAAAGCAGGCUUAUUAUGGAGUUGUCCACAGACACAGUCUCCCAUUGUCAUUCUGCACCACCAGUAAUCUGCUAUGGUAAAGAUUAC